UCAUAUGCUUGUCUCAAAGAUUAAGCCAUGCAUGUCUCAGUGCAAGCCGCAUUAAGGUGAAACCGCGAAAGGCUCAUUAAAUCAGUUGUGGUUCCUUAGAUCGUACCCAAGUUACUUGGAUAACUGUGGUAAUUCUAGAGCUAAUACAUGCCGACAGAGUUCCGACCGUCGCGGCGCCCUCGGGCGUCGCUCGCGGGAGGAACGCUUUUAUUAGAUCAAAACCGGCCCGUCGCGGCGCGCUUCGUGCGCGUCCCGAUCGCGGCCCGCGCAAAGACCUGGUGACUCUGAAUAACUUCGAGCUGAUCGCACGGUCUCCGUACCGGCGACGCAUCUUUCAAAUGUCUGCCUUAUCAACUGUCGACGGUAGGUUCCAUGCCUACCGUGGUGGUAACGGGUAACGGGGAAUCAGGGUUCGAUUCCGGAGAGGGAGCCUGAGAAACGGCUACCACAUCCAAGGAAGGCAGCAGGCGCGCAAAUUACCCACUCCCGGAACGGGGAGGUAGUGACGAAAAAUAACGAUACGGGACUCAUCCGAGGCCCCGUAAUCGGAAUGAGAACACUUUAAAACCUUUAAACGAGGAUCAAUUGGAGGGCAAG
rnacentral:rRNA from 2 species